GGGGAGGGGGCGGCGGCAGCAGAGGCGACAUCGUUAUUUCCGUGGCCUGGGCGGUGCGUGGCGGCGCGGGUGGGCACAGGAGAAGUAGUGGGAAGGCAAACUGAGUCCUGGCAGGUGGUGGUCUGUUACAUGAGCAGCAGUAUCGUCAACGUGAGAUUUAAUUGCAUUAGAUAGCUUUUUGCAGUACCGUCCUUUGACUCAGAAAACUUCUGCUUAAACAGUCUAGCAUAAUGGUUAUGAAAGCUUCUGUAGAUGAUGAUGAUUCAGGAUGGGAGCUCAGUAUCCCUGAAAAAAUGGAAAAAAGCAAUACAAGCUGGGUGGACAUAACUCAAGAUUUUGAAGAAGCAUGUCGAGAGCUGAAGUUGGGAGAACUGCUUCAUGAUAAGCU